rnacentral:lncRNA from 10 species
CCAGCUUUCCAUGAAUCACGUAAAUCCUGAUAGGUCUAGGCCGUUAACAAUGGGUCCAUUGCUGUAAAGGACCGGUUUACAGGUGUAUAGGUAGCCAGUUUUGUCAAUGAGAUGUCAGAGAAUGUUGACUGGGGGGUUUCUGUGAGUUUUCCUCCCUGAUAAUUUUCUUAAGUCAGAACUCCUUCCUCUUCCAUUGCUGGAUAAUGUAUUUUGGAGUGCUUCUGUAAUUACUUCAACCAUCUGGCAAUGAUGGGGAGAAUUGGCCAUUAGAGGAAGCCAACACACAGGACAGCAAAACAGAACCUGAGUCCUUACAUUCCUGAGCUAUUGAUCUUCCUGUGACAUCCCUCUAGAGUUCUGUUCAUGUGAGAUGAUAAAUCCCAUUAUGAUUUAUUCCAGUUCAACUGAGUUCUCUGUUGUUUCCUGCCAAGACAUUCUCACAAAUCCAAAAGAAAUGGUCAUGUCCUUCCCAGUCCCAGUUUGCUCCAGAAAUGUGAAAUAUAAGAUUGCACGUUUAUGUAGAGCACCAGCAAGAGGGACAGGCGUGGAGAUGGAUCCUGACUCUGUCGUGGACUGUCUGAGCUUGAAUAAUACACUUCAACUCUUUAAGCCUCAAGUUUCUGUCCCUCAAGGGACAACAGCCACUAUCUCAUAAGGACAGUUCAUGAGAUUAUGUAAGAGAAUGUUUUCAAAGUGUAGACUCUCAGUGAUAAUAUCUAAAAUACAAACACACACACACAUAUAUAAAGGCAACCCUGACAGCUGUUUUCAACAGGAAAACAAAUCAAGUGAGAAAAUUAACACCAUUCAAGCAGAAGGGUAAAUAAACCUAGAAAGACAUACGGUAUAUUGGACAGCAUCUGUGUAUAGGACUUAAAGCCUUUUUAAAAUACCUAAUCCAGAAUUAAGAGCAAAAAUAAGAGUAUUUUUAUCUGAUCUCUUAGGAACAUGAAAUCUGAGGGAAGAUACUUUUGGAACCUUGAAUCUGAAAGGAACUCAAUGUUUUGCAUCCUUGGGAUUGCCAGAGAUUGGCAGAGGAGAGUCAAACAAGGACACAGAGAUGGAGCAGCCUUGAUAUUUCAAAGUUUUGACCUUGGGAUACAAGCACAGAAUUCUGCGAAAGGAGAGUGGAAUUUGUCUCUGAUCGGAGAAUACUCUAAUUGUUCAGAUACUGCACUGCUCCGAUGAACAACUUCUUUGGAAUAGAAGGCAAUCUGGACACAAAGGGACACUGGGGUACAUAUGUACAGAAAAAAGACCAUGUGAAGACACAGUGAGAAAGUGGUCAUUUGCAAGCAAAGAAGAGGUCUCAGAAGAAUGCAAACCUGCUGACACCUUGAUCUCAGAAUUCUAGCCUCCAGAAUGGUAAGAAAAUAAAUUUCUGUUGUUUAGCUCAUAUAGUCUGUGGUAUUUUGUUAUGGCAACCCUAGCAGAUUACACACACAUGGAGACACACAAGCACACACAUAGAUGCGUAUAUAAUCUUUUAUCCUUACCCUAACUCUAUAAGGUAAGCAUUAUUAUCCUUAUUUUAUAGAUGAGGACAUUGAGGCGCAGAGAAAUUAAGUGACCUUCCUCAGAGUCACAUAUGACAGCUAAAUGGUUACAAAGUCCAUAGUAACUAUAGGAUCCCUGUGAUGUUGUGAAAUAUCUAUUUGGUCUUCAUCCCAGUCUCCUAGCGCACAACUCCUAAAAUCCCUGGACUCUUCAAAGUGCUGGAGCUACUCCAGGGGUUUACAGCUUGCCAGUUUUGCAAUGAAGUGCUUAGAUCAGAACUCUGAGCAGGACCCCGUUUACUGGGACAGUCUGGCCAUCAGAUGGUGCCUGUAUCAGUGUAGCCCCAGAUCUCAUGGCUUUGCAAACAUCUGUGCUCUCUGCUUUACCCUGCAGCAUUUCACUUCCAUUAAAAGUGCAGCCUAAAAUCUCCCUUGUGCAUCCUUGUCUGGGAACUGGGUGACUUCCAGUUGAAGGGUCAAUAAAUAUAAUUAAAAGGAUCAUCCAACUGGAUCUCUUUCUCUGAGUGUCUUCCCUUGGAGGGACAACCCUCUCCAUCUCAUAAAUGGAUUUUUUCGAACAUGAGGACUUUGAAAGGUGGCAGAUGUCCUCAGCCUAUUGAUUUGUGUAGUUUGAUGCCUGGCAAGUGGUAGUCAGAGUCCUCAGAUUCAUAAGGACACCCCCUCAUAUGCAGAGGAUUCACAGAUGAUAUUCACUGUAUUAUGGCCUGAUCGAUAGUCCCCUACCAAAUAAAUGCUCAUCUACUCUAUCACCUCUCCUCAUAGACAAGUAAUAACACCAUGACUUAUUAGGAAAUACAAUGAGCGUAAAACAGUAGUAGCCAGCUUCCUGAAUAACUGUUACAUAACACGGCAUUUCUUGGUACUUUCACGUACCCU